UGCAAGUCGAGCGGUAAGGCCCUUCGGGGUACACGAGCGGCGAACGGGUGAGUAACACGUGGGUGAUCUGCCUCGCACUCUGGGAUAAGCCUGGGAAACUGGGUCUAAUACCGGAUAUGAGCAUGGUCUGCAUGGACUGUGUUGGAAAGGUUUACUGGUGCGAGAUGGGCCCGCGGCCUAUCAGCUUGUUGGUGGGGUAACGGCCUACCAAGGCGACGACGGGUAGCCGGCCUGAGAGGGCGACCGGCCACACUGGGACUGAGACACGGCCCAGACUCCUACGGGAGGCAGCAGUGGGGAAUAUUGCACAAUGGGCGAAAGCCUGAUGCAGCGACGCCGCGUGAGGGAUGACGGCCUUCGGGUUGUAAACCUCUUUCGACAGGGACGAAGCGCAAGUGACGGUACCUGUAGAAGAAGCACCGGCCAACUACGUGCCAGCAGCCGCGGUAAUACGUAGGGUGCGAGCGUUGUCCGGAAUUACUGGGCGUAAAGAGCUUGUAGGCGGUCUGUCGCGUCGAUUGUGAAAACUCACAGCUCAACUGUGAGCCUGCAGUCGAUACGGGCAGACUAGAGUACUUCAGGGGAGACUGGAAUUCCUGGUGUAGCGGUGAAAUGCGCAGAUAUCAGGAGGAACACCGGUGGCGAAGGCGGGUCUCUGGGAAGUAACUGACGCUGAGAAGCGAAAGCGUGGGUAGCGAACAGGAUUAGAUACCCUGGUAGUCCACGCCGUAAACGGUGGGUACUAGGUGUGGGUUUCCUUCCACGGGAUCCGUGCCGUAGCUAACGCAUUAAGUACCCCGCCUGGGGAGUACGGCCGCAAGGCUAAAACUCAAAGGAAUUGACGGGGGCCCGCACAAGCGGCGGAGCAUGUGGAUUAAUUCGAUGCAACGCGAAGAACCUUACCUGGGUUUGACAUACACCGGAAAGCCGUAGAGAUACGGCCCCCCUUGUGGUCGGUGUACAGGUGGUGCAUGGCUGUCGUCAGCUCGUGUCGUGAGAUGUUGGGUUAAGUCCCGCAACGAGCGCAACCCUUAUCUUAUGUUGCCAGCGCGUAAUGGCGGGGACUCGUGAGAGACUGCCGGGGUCAACUCGGAGGAAGGUGGGGACGACGUCAAGUCAUCAUGCCCCUUAUGUCCAGGGCUUCACACAUGCUACAAUGGCCGGUACAGAGGGCUGCGAUACCGUGAGGUGGAGCGAAUCCCUUAAAGCCGGUCUCAGUUCGGAUCGGGGUCUGCAACUCGACCCCGUGAAGUUGGAGUCGCUAGUAAUCGCAGAUCAGCAACGCUGCGGUGAAUACGUUCCCGGGCCUUGUACACACCGCCCGUCACGUCAUGAAAGUCGGUAACACCCGAAGCCGGUG
rnacentral:rRNA from 1 species